UACGUAGGGGGCUAGCGUUGUCCGGAUUUAUUGGGCGUAAAGAGCGUGUAGGCGGCCAGGUAGGUCGGUUGUGAAAACUGGAGGCUUAACCUUCAGACGUCGACCGAAACCAUCUGGCUAGAGUCCGGAAGAGGAGAGUGGAAUUCCUGGUGUAGCGGUGAAAUGCGCAGAUAUCAGGAAGAACACCCGUGGCGAAGGCGGCUCUCUGGGACGGUACUGGCGCUGAGACGCGAAAGCGUGGGGAGCGAACAGG
rnacentral:rRNA from 1 species